rnacentral:tRNA from 1 species
GGGCCUGUAGCUCAGAUGGAUGAGAGCGCAAGCUUGCGGAGCUUGAGGUCGCAGGUUCAAAUCCUGCCAGGCUCU